CUCUUGUGGCUUCCCCAGCCUCAGAUGAUUUGUUUUAUUAGAGGCGAGUUGUGUUUGCUACCGACCCACAGCCCUGGCGGCCCUGGGGAACAGACGCCCGAGAAUUGACCGUGGCCCCCCUGACUCCCCGCCGGCUCGUUCCUGCUGCGCUCAGAGCACGGGGCCCCUGCUACGGCGUGGUCGUGGGCUCAGGGCUCUGGAAAAGCAGGCCCCGCUCGGGCUCGCCCCCUGGGGGCCCACAGUGUCUUUCUCUGAAGAAUGAGGCACGGACCCCACCUCCAGGAUCUGAUGUGAGCAUCCAUGUGAGUCAAGAGAUAGAACCGCAUACAGUCCGCUGCUCUCUGCCAUCCCUGCUCAAGCCUUUCUUCCCGAGAACCACGGGACUCGGCAAGGCUGCCCAGUCUGAGGGCGCCGGCCUCCCUUGGAGGCCACACAGUGCUCAGAUUUGGGGCCAGAGCCGUGGCUGGGGGCCGGCAGGAGAGGGCCAGCCUGUCCAGCCCGCUGGUCCCUUUGUUCGCGGUCCCCGCACCCCUGACUGCAGAGCCUUUCGGUUGACCCUCUGGAGGCGGGAAGUUCCCAUGUGGCCGCACGACCUCUCCCUCUGGCCGGGCAUCUGCUGACUGUGGCCUCCUCUGCCACUGGCGAGAGGACCUGGGGACAGAAGACAGGGUGUCCCCAGGGCCAGGGCGUGAGGAUGAGCCCAGCCUUUUCCGAGGCUUCGGGCGUUUUCACAGAGCUCCCCGCACUCAACUCCCCGUGAGCAGAGCUGGCCUCAUCUGAGCAGUGCUCUCCUGGUGGCCCUGUGUGGUCCCGUGCUCCAAUGGGUAACUGUCCUGCCCAUGUGGGCCCACGCUGCCCCAGGGCGCGGUGGCCGCCACUCAGCGACCCCUUGGGGGAGACACGCCCAGAAUACCUUCACCGGCAGCAUCUCCCUCAGCUUAGAGGGGCCCGGAGACUGUGACACCAGCAUGGACAAAGCCCUGCGGGCAGCGUCUCCGGGCGCCAGCGCCCCAACUUGUGACCCCAAAGCCCAUGUGAGGGCACAGGGACGAUCACGAUGAGACCCCUGCAUCAGCGUCACCCCUGCCACUGAGGGACGCCAAGCAGCCCACGGCACACACACCACAGCCUCGCGAAGAAACUGGGAGGUGAUGAGUGUUGAGUUUGGGACUUUUGUUUUACUAGAAUGUAUUUGUUUGUAAGUUCUUAUAAUUUACUGU